GGUGAACGCUGGCGGCGUGCCUAACACAUGCAAGUCGAGCGGUGCAGUUUGAAGCUUCGGUGGAAAGCUGCAUAGCGGCGGACGGGUGAGGAAAACGUAGGAACGUGCCCCUUGGAGUUGGAUAGCCACGGGAAACUGUGGGUAAACCGACAUAGACUCGAGAGAGUAAAGGCCGAAAGGCGCCAAGGGAGCGGCCUGCGGCCCAUCAGGUAGUUGGUAGUGUAAAGGACUACCAAGCCGACGACGGGUAGCCGGUCUGAGAGGAUGGCCGGCCACAAGGGCACUGAGAGACGGGCCCUACUCCUACGGGAGGCAGCAGUGGGGGAUUUGGACAAUGGGCGAAAGCCUGAUCCAGCGACGCCGCGUGGAGGACGAAGCCCUUCGGGGUGUAAACUCCUUUUCUCAGGGAAAAAGGAUGAUGGUACCUGAGGAAUAAGCCCCGGCUAAACUACGUGCCAGCAGCCGACGGUAAAAGUGUGUGUA
rnacentral:rRNA from 1 species